UCUGAAGCAUUGAUUACCACUUGAGGAGAACAAGUGUGGCCCGAUCUUCCGAAAGUUUCUGGUAACUAUCGAUUUGGUGGAAACGAGAGACAUAUCAAUCCAGUUUGCGGACAACACAAUUCGAAACCCUACAAUUCUUUUUUUUUAUAUUUUUCUUUUACUUAGGAGCACUCAAGAAGUAACCACAGGAAAUUUGAGCUUAAACAAGUGAAUUACGUGGCCUGUGGAAUUUUAUGAAGAUUGUG
rnacentral:lncRNA from 1 species